UUGGAGGGCAAGUCUGGUGCCAGCAGCCGCGGUAAUUCCAGCUCCAAUAGCGUAUAUUAAAGUUGUUGCAGUUAAAAAGCUCGUAGUUGAAUUUCGGGACCAAUUUGUUGGUCGUGCCUCGGUACGUACUGGUAUUAUUGGUUUCUACCUUCUGAAGAACCUUGAUGUCAUUAAUUUGGUGUCUUGGGGAAUCAGGACUGUUACUUUGAAAAAAUUAGAGUGUUUAUAGCAAGCAUACGCUUGAAUACAUUAGCAUGGAAUAAUGAAAUAGGACGUUUGAUUCUAUUUUGUUGGUUUCUAGGAUCGACGUAAUGAUUAAUAGGGAUAGUUGGGGGCAUUAGUAUUCAAUUGUCAGAGGUGAAAUUCUUGGAUUUAUUGAAGACUAACUACUGCGAAAGCAUUUGCCAAGGAUGUUUUCAUUAAUCAAGAACGAAAGUUAGGGGAUCGAAGACGAUCAGAUACCGUCGUAGUCUUAACCACAAACUAUGCCGACUAGGGAUCGGAUGAUGUUAAUUUUUUAAUGACUCAUUCGGCGCCUUACGGGAAACCAAAGUGUUUGGGUUC
rnacentral:rRNA from 1 species